CUUUGCCUGCUGUAUGCGUGAUAGAACUAUAUGUGCCGAGCCAACAGUUUCUAAAUGGGAGUCCGCUCCCAACCUGCACUUACGCGGGUUCGAGACACUAUGGCUACACGGUACGGUGGGCUUGCC
rnacentral:other from 2 species